GCGAAGGCGUAGUAUUCUAGUCAGCGAACUUUGCUUAGAAGGUGAUGAAAUAGGCACCAAAGGGCAUAACUAUGAAGUUUCUGGUGUCAGUUUUGGUUGCCCAAAUUGGGACUGAUGCUGGAAGUUAAGAUUUUUGGACGCAUUGUAAUGGCAUACAAUAUCCGUUCCAAUUAUCGCGGAGACCUAACUAGGUGGAAUUUUUCCACUUCUUAGGAGAGAAACCUGCAAGGCGACGCAAAAGUUGUGUGCAGUGUAGCCUGCUUUGAGUGGCAUACUUGGGAUUUGGUAAAAAGUUAAAAUUAAGCGUUUUUGGCCAGACGCGUUUUAGUAAGCUAAUGAAAUUUGUGUUGCAAAACUAAGCUAAGAGCAAAGCUAGCUGUUAAGGAAAGCUUCUAGGCUAUUGCGGAAGAGUCCGCAGUUAUAUUGGGGAUUAUAGUGUGAGCUUAGUGGCGAUUCGGUGAAAGGCUUCAAGUAAUAGGAAACUUCCAUGGUGGUAACGCCAGGUUUUGAAGUUUGGGAAAUCCAACCGAACCUAUGUCGCAAGGUUUACCUAAUAUAAUGCCUUCG
rnacentral:sRNA from 1 species